UUCAUGACUGGGGUGAAGUCGUAACAAGGUAGCGCUAGGGGAACCUGGCGCUGGAUCACCUCCUUAAACGAUGAU
rnacentral:rRNA from 1 species